AUUGAACGCUGGCGGCAGGCCUAACACAUGCAAGUCGAGCGGAUGAAGGGAGCUUGCUCCUGGAUUCAGCGGCGGACGGGUGAGUAAUGCCUAGGAAUCUGCCUGGUAGUGGGGGAUAACGUCCGGAAACGGGCGCUAAUACCGCAUACGUCCUGAGGGAGAAAGUGGGGGAUCUUCGGACCUCACGCUAUCAGAUGAGCCUAGGUCGGAUUAGCUAGUUGGUGGGGUAAAGGCCUACCAAGGCGGCGAUCCGUAACUGGUCUGAGAGGAUGAUCAGUCACACUGGAACUGAGACACGGUCCAGACUCCUACGGGAGGCAGCAGUGGGGAAUAUUGGACAAUGGGCGAAAGCCUGAUCCAGCCAUGCCGCGUGUGUGAAGAAGGUCUUCGGAUUGUAAAGCACUUUAAGUUGGGAGGAAGGGCAGUAAGUUAAUACCUUGCUGUCUUGACGUUACCAACAGAAUAAGCACCGGCUAACUUCGUG
rnacentral:rRNA from 1 species